ACUUGAUUUAUACCACUAGUGAUAAAUUAGUUAUUUAAAAAAGGAAUGCAUGCCUGGACACUUUUUUUUUAUUUAUUAUUAUCUUUAUUCUAUAGGGUCGGCCAGGCCCACCUGGUGUCCAGGGACCUCCAGGGCUUAAAGGCAGUCAGGUAAAGUAACACAUCUGACUAAUGUGCAUACAUCAAAAGUUAAUAAGAUUGACUGAGGAGUGAUGCUUAUGUUUAUUUAUUAUUAGGGUGAUGCUGGGCUUCCAGGUACUGGCCUUCCAGGACUGCAGGUGAAUGAACAGUUAUUGUAAUCACUCUUUUCAUUUAUAAUUUUUUUUUUUUUGAGAAAUGUGCAGGUGUCAGUUGCAUUUAAAUAAUUCCUUUAAUGCACCAGCUCUUUGAAAUGUUUUGAUGUUCUCAUUUAGGGUGAGCAGGGACCUAGAGGUUUUCCCGGAGUUGCUGUAAGUACACAAACAAGAUUGUGUUCUUGGGUGUUCACACAUGGAUUUGGACCUUUGAGUGUGCAAUUUGCAGAUGUUGUUCUCUUUAUUUUUUUUUAUUUUUACAUGUCCACUGUUAUCUGAAACAUACACUACUGUUCAGUAUAAUUUAUAAAAUGUUUUUGAAGUGUCUUAUGCUCACCAAGGCUGCAUUUAAUUAAUUAAGAAUUCAGUAAAACAGUAAAGUUGUGUAAUAUUAUUAGAAUUAAAAAUAUCUGUUUUAUAUUUGAAUAUAUUUUCAAAUGUAAUGUAUUCCUUUCAUAGCAAAGCUGAAUGUUCAGCAUCAUUACUUCAGUCUUCAGUGUCACACGAUCCUUCAGAACUCAGUCCAAUAUGCUGAUUUUUGUGCAUCCUUGCUGAAGAAAAUUAUAUAUAUAUAUUUAUUUAUUAUUAUUAACCCUGUAACUUUUGAACAGCAGUGUAUGAAUCACAAUAAUAAAUAAAAAAGCUCUUUUAAUAAGGACCACAUGUGAAAACCAAGUGUAAAAACAAUCAUGUGUGUCCUACAGGGUCCAGAAGGACGUCUGGGACCUGCAGGACCGAUUGGACCAGCGGGACAAAGGGGUCCAAAGGGAGAAAUGGGACCACCAGGGCCACACGGGCCAAUGGGAAUAGGACCAAUAGGACCCCCGGGUAGGGAUGGAACGCAAGGAUUUCCUGGAAUACCAGGGCAGGAUGGGAUUCCUGGAGCCUAUGGGCCUAAGGGUGACAAGGUAGGUGUCUGGAUCAGUGAGCUGGAGAGGCGAUUUCCAGCUUUCCCGAAGCAGUGAGAGAGUGUGUGUGUGUGUGUGUGUGUGUGUUGAGGGAACGAUGGAUAGGAGGAGUAAUGUUUAGAGCGACCGUCUGUACACAUACUGAUGUGUUCACCCUGGAGACACAAACAGACUCAUAAAUCUGACAGAAGAGUUUGACGGUGCUGAAAAAGUCCAAAAUGCCCUCGAGCUAAAAAAGGGCCAUUAAUUGGUGAAUAUUACAGUUGUCAUCUGUAAUCUGACAAAAUCAGGGAAUAUCAAAGAGAAAGGAAGUGAGCGUUAGGGAGAUGUGAAAUAGAGACCGCGAAAGAAAAGCCCUGGAAAUGCUUCAUUCUUUAAUGUCCUCUGUUGUCUCCCAGACUAAUUUGUCGAAACACAGGAAAGUGGCAGCUGAUAUCAAAUGAUGCAUAUUCCUCUUAAGUGUGAUGAAGUGAUCUGUGAUUCCUGUUCAGUGCCAGGAUAGAAUUCCACAGCAGAUCUUUUUUUUAAUUUCGACAUCAUUUCACGUUGCAACACAAGGUGACAUGGGUGUGUGCAUGUGUGUGACCGUGUGUGCAUGUUGAGACCAUGGUUAUUAUAGUUAACUAACUGAAACUAAACCAUAAAAAAAAAUAAUAAUAACUUUUUAACUGAAAUAAAAUAUAUAAAAAAUAGUUUAGCUAAUUGCUAAGUCAACAUUUAUUAUUUUCAUUUUGAUUAACUUGAUGUAGUAAAAUAACUUAACCUAAAACUGAAAUUAAAAUAAUACAAAUAGUAUAGACAUAAUAUAUAUAUAUAUAUAUAUAUAUAUAUAUAUAUAUAUAUAUAUAUAUAUAUAUAUAUAUAUAUAUAUAUAUAUAUAUAUAUAUAUA
ensembl:lncRNA